rnacentral:rRNA from 1 species
UACGGGGGGAGCAAGCGUUGUUCGGAUUUACUGGGCGUAAAGGGCGCGUAGGCGGCGCAACAAGUCACUUGUGAAAUCUCCGGGCUUAACUCGGAGCGGCCAAGUGAUACUGUCGUGCUAGAGUGCGGAAGGGGCAACUGGAAUUCUCGGUGUAGCGGUGAAAUGCGUAGAUAUCGAGAGGAACACCUGCGGCGAAGGCGGGUUGCUGGGCCGACACUGACGCUGAGGCGCGAAAGCCAGGGGAGCGAACGGG